CAAACAAAUAUUCAAAAGAAUAGGGUAUGAUUGACAAAAUAAACAAUUAGGGUUUAAGGUUUCGGCAUCCGCAUAAUUUCUGCCUUGUUUGUCUCUCAAAGGAAGUGAACUUCAACGGAACAGUCAUUAACAAUGCCGCGAACUACCACCGUAGAGUGCCCUGGUUGCCCUCCGCUUCGAGCCUUAACUUUCGACGCACUUGGUCUCAUUAAAGUGAUUGAGUCUCGUGGCGAUCGAGGAAUCCCUCAGGUGGUAGAGAGAUGGGGUAAUCCAGACUCCUCUAAAUGCGUGCUUGCUGUUUCUAUGGAUGAUAGUAAAAGAGAUCCUUUAUUAGCUGUUGCAAGAAAAAGCAGUGUGAUUGAACUUCUCAAUCCACUUAAUGGGGAAAUUGGCGUUUCAAUUUCUAAUGUUGGUGAUGCUGGUACUCAACCUGAGGAUGAUGCUGUUAUUGGUUUGCAUUUAUUCAAAAGACACAGAGUAUCUGGAUCAUGCACUUUGCUUACAUGUUCAACAAAAGGAAAUGCAAGCAUGAGGUCCAUUGAAGUUACCAGUUCAACAGUAGAUAAUGCCAGUACUGUUGCCCCUAGAACCUGGAAAGUUUCUGCUUCUGGGAAUAUUUUAUGUUCUAAAGUGGAUGGAAGUGAAAACUAUGCUUUAUUUGGAGGGAAAGCUGUGGAAGUCAAUCUAUGGGAUCUUGAGAAGUGUUCCAAAAUUUGGACUGCAAAACCUCCUCCUAAAAACGGCCUUGGUAUUUUUACUCCGACAUGGUUUACAUCCGCAACAUUUCUGACUAACGAUGAUCACCGUAAAUUUGCAGCUGGAACCAACAGCCAUCAGGUUCGUCUGUAUGAUACUUCUGCUCAGCGCAGACCUGUAAUUUCAUUUGAUUUCUGUGACACCCCUAUUAAAGCAGUCACUGAAGAUCAAGAUGGCCAUACAAUCUAUAUAGGAAAUGGGUCUGGUGAUCUUGCUUCUUUUGACAUACGCACAGGGAAAUUGUUAGGAUGCUUUUUGGGGAAGUGUUCUGGAAGCAUCAGAUCCAUUGCAAGGCAUCUGGAGCUCCCCGUGAUAGGAUCUUGUGGUCUUGAUAGCUAUUUGCGCUUGUGGGAUAUAAAGACACGACAACUUCUUUCAGCGGUUUUCCUGAAGCAGCAUCUUACUAAUGUUGUUUUUGAUUCCAAUUUUACUGACAAAGAAGUUGCAGUGGAAGCACAGAAUGCGAAUGAGAUCCAAAAUGAAAACGAGAUGGGAACAAUGCCCCAAAAAAGAAGGAAAGCAUCUACAGAAAAAGGAGGCAAAAGGAAGGCAUCUAAAGAAAAGGAUGGAAGCAAGAGGUUAAAAUCCAGUGAAAAGAACCAAUGAAAGAAAGUGAGAUUAGUGACAAUUCCUGAUUACCUGCUUAUGCUAUUAACAAGGUGAAGAAUGGGAUCAUGCAUUGUGAUUAGAUGGUGCUACGACAGGAUCACAUUCACAUGGCAAUGUUUAUGCAGCAUUUUUGCGAUAUAAAUUCAAAUCAGUUUAAAGAGGAUGACCAGAGACGAUACAGGUCAGUAGCUUCUAUUUGAUCUUCUUGCUGAAUCAACAAGUUAAGUGAACUCUUUAAAAAAAGGUAACUGAUAGCUGUACAGUUGUAUUUUGUAUUAAUUCUGUAAUAUGAAUUGUUCACCGUGUAAUUUUUUUAUUAUUUAACAAAAAUAAUCUCUACCAA